GCAAAGAAGGGAUGUACACCAUCGCAGCUAGCACUGGCAUGGGUUCACCACCAAGGAGACGAUGUAUGUCCUAUACCUGGAACCACCAAGAUUGCAAACCUGAACCAGAACAUGGGAGCUUUGUCAGUGAAACUGACUCCUGAAGAGAUGGCUGAACUUGAAUUCAUUGCUUCAGCUGAUGGGGUCAAGGGUGAUAGAUAUAUGUCCAACUUUGCUACGUACGAGAAUUCCGAAACUCCUCCCCUGUCUUCAUGGAAAGCUGAAUAAGCCAACACAUUCUCUUAUAAAUGGUUUGUAAUGUCUUUUCCUUCUUAUAUGAAAUGGGCAUAUCUUUGAAAUAUAUUUUGCUUGUGCUUUGUUCCAGUAGCAUGGUAAGAGAGGACAUUUGCCAUGCCUUACCAUGUUGUGCGUGUAAUAUUUACAGAGUUUGUUUUACAUAAUAAAGCAUUAAUUAUGCUUGGAGCUCUAUAUAGUCUAAUACUCGAUGGUUAAAAUGGUUGAAUGAUAAAUAAAUUUUACCUUUGUGGGAUUAGAAGGGGGUUAGAACUGAUGACCCUAGAGAGAUUAAAGACAGGUCUGAGGAGUUCAACACAGAACAUUUUGGGAAAGGAAAUACAGUGUAUCUUCUGCAAUUUACAGAUGACACAUUAUUUUUGUGCUCUAGUGGAGAGCUUGGUUUGUUCAUACCCCAUUAUAUAUCAGUCACUGAUGGAUCAAGUAAAAUUGAGAUAAAAUAGUCAAAUUAUAAUCCUCUUUAUUACAUACAAGCUGCAAACCCAACCAAUUUUAAUUAUUAAUCAUGUCUUACUAUCGAAGUAAUUAACUAAUUAACUAAUCUAUUUCAUGAAAUGAUAAUGCACACAACAGCCCACUAUAUGAAAGGGAAAAAUCACGAGCAUAAAAAUCACAAGAUCAUCACAACAUCUCUUAACCUCAAGCAAUUAAUCCCCCAUUGAACCGAACCAAGCUUGUUCCAAUUGCUACCUUGUCAUAUCCCAGGAACAUAUAUGGCUGGAAGCAUAGGUGCACGACUCUCUCUGAACUGUUUCUUCACAGAGACGACUGUUCAUCUUCUUCCUCCAUGCGAUGCGACCGACGGGAUGAAAAGGCUGCUCCGAAUGGCAGCUUCUGGUGCAUGGCAACGAUUGACAGUUCGAAAAGACGAUUCACAUACAAUUUCAUACCUAUAAAUACGAGAUUGUAAAUCAAAAUCAUCAUCUUGUAAUUUGUUGGAAAUGAAUCUCAAAUAAUCUCUCUCUCUCUCUCUUAAAUAUUCCAGCUCUCUCUCUCUAAGAGACUCUUCUCUUUCACACACACCUCUUCUCACUUCCCGACUCGACUCCCUUUCUUCUCUCUCUCUCUCUCCAGAAAUCUUAAUUUAUUUUCUAAAAAUUACAAUU
rnacentral:lncRNA from 1 species